rnacentral:rRNA from 1 species
GGUUAAGUGACUAAGCGUACACGGUGGAUGCCUUGGCAGUUGGAGGCGAUGAAGGACGUACUAACUUGCGAUAAGCCUAGUCAAGCCAGUAAGAGGCGCUUGAGACUAGGAUUUCCGAAUGGGGAAACCCACCUGCUUGCAGGUAUCGUUAACUGAAUACAUAGGUUAACGAGGCGAACGCGGAGAACUGAAACAUCUAAGUACCCGUAGGAAAAGAAAUCAACCGAGAUUCCGAAAGUAGCGGCGAGCGAAAUCGGACCAGCCCUUAAGCUUUAGUGUAGUUAGUGGAACAUGCUGGAAAGCAUGACGAAACAGGGUGAUAGUCCCGUACACAAAAACUUAUCUAAAGUGAAAUCGAGUAGGUCGGAGCACGUGAAACUUUGACUGAAUAUGGGGGGACCAUCCUCCAAGGCUAAAUACUCCCAACUGACCGAUAGUGAACCAGUACCGUGAGGGAAAGGCGAAAAGAACCCCUGUGAGGGGAGUGAAAUAGAACCUGAAACCGUGUACGUACAAGCAGUAGGAGCCUACUUGUUGGGUGACUGCGUACCUUUUGUAUAAUGGGUCAGCGACUUAUAUUCUGUAGCGAGGUUAACCAUUUAGGGGAGCCGUAGCGAAAGCGAGUCUUAACUGGGCGCUUAAGUUGCAGGGUAUAGACCCGAAACCCGGUGAUCUAGCCAUGGGCAGGUUGAAGGUUGAGUAACAUCAACUGGAGGACCGAACCCACUAACGUUGAAAAGUUAGGGGAUGACCUGUGGCUAGGAGUGAAAGGCUAAUCAAACCGGGAGAUAGCUGGUUCUCCCCGAAAUCUAUUUAGGUAGAGCCUCGGACGAAUACUUACGGGGGUAGAGCACUGUUAAGGCUAGGGGGUCAUCCCGACUUACCAACCCUUUGCAAACUCCGAAUACCGUAAAGUAAUAUCCGGGAGACACACGGCGGGUGCUAACGUCCGUCGUGGAGAGGGAAACAACCCAGACCGUCAGCUAAGGUCCCAAAGUGUAUGUUAAGUGGGAAACGAUGUGGGAAGGCUAAAACAGCUAGGAGGUUGGCUUAGAAGCAGCCACCCUUUAAAGAAAGCGUAAUAGCUCACUAGUCGAGUCGGCCUGCGCGGAAGAUGUAACGGGGCUAAACAUACCACCGAAGCUACGGCUGCAGACUUUGUCUGCGGGGUAGGGGAGCGUUCUGUAAGUGGCUGAAGGUGUGCCGGGAGGCAUGCUGGACAUAUCAGAAGUGCGAAUGCUGACAUGAGUAACGACAAGAGGAGUGAAAAACUCCUCCGCCGGAAGACCAAGGGUUCCUAUCCCAUGUUAAUCAGGGUAGGGUGAGUCGACCCCUAAGGCGAGGCUGAAGAGCGUAGUCGAUGGGAAACGGGUUAAUAUUCCCGUACUCGGUAUGAAUGCGAUGGGGGGACGGAGCAGGCUAGGCAAGCAUGGCGUUGGUUGUCCAUGUGAAAGGCUGUAGGCUGGCGANNNNNNNNNNNNNNNNNNNNNNNNNNNNNNNNNNNNNNNNNNNNNNNNNNNNNNNNNNNNNNNNNNNNNNNNNNNNNNNNNNNNNNNNNNNNNNNNNAAGGUGGUGAAGUUGUUGAUGCCCUACUUCCAGGAAAAGCCUCUAAGCUUCAGUUCAUACUGAAUCGUACCCUAAACCGACACAGGUGGUCAGGUAGAGAAUACUAAGGCGCUUGAGAGAACUCGGGUGAAGGAACUAGGCAAAAUUGUACCGUAACUUCGGGAGAAGGUACGCUCUUGUUUGUGAAAGACUUGCUCUGUAAGCAAACGAGAGCCGCAGUGACCAGGUGGCUGGGACUGUUUAUUAAAAACACAGCACUGUGCAAAAUCGUAAGAUGACGUAUACGGUGUGACACCUGCCCGGUGCCGGAAGGUUAAUUGAUGGGGUUAGCUUAGGCGAAGCUCUUGAUCGAAGCCCCGGUAAACGGCGGCCGUAACUAUAACGGUCCUAAGGUAGCGAAAUUCCUUGUCGGGUAAGUUCCGACCUGCACGAAUGGUGUAACCAUGGCCACGCUGUCUCCACCCGAGACUCAGUGAAAUUGAAAUCGCAGUGAAGAUGCUGUGUACCCGCGGCUAGACGGAAAGACCCCGUGAACCUUUACUACAGCUUGGCACUGAACAUUGACCCUACAUGUGUAGGAUAGGUGGGAGGCUUUGAAGCAGAGACGCUAGUUUCUGUGGAGCCGACCUUGAAAUACCACCCUUGUAGUGUUGAUGUUCUAACUUAGGCCCCUGAAUCGGGGUUGAGGACAGUGCCUGGUGGGUAGUUUGACUGGGGCGGUCUCCUCCCAAAGAGUAACGGAGGAGCACGAAGGUUUGCUAAGUACGGUCGGACAUCGUACGGUUAGUGUAAUGGUAGAAGCAAGCUUAACUGCGAGACAGACACGUCGAGCAGGUACGAAAGUAGGUCAUAGUGAUCCGGUGGUUCUGAAUGGAAGGGCCAUCGCUCAACGGAUAAAAGGUACUCCGGGGAUAACAGGCUGAUACCGCCCAAGAGUUCAUAUCGACGGCGGUGUUUGGCACCUCGAUGUCGGCUCAUCACAUCCUGGGGCUGAAGUCGGUCCCAAGGGUAUGGCUGUUCGCCAUUUAAAGUGGUACGCGAGCUGGGUUUAGAACGUCGUGAGACAGUUCGGUCCCUAUCUGCCGUGGGCGUUUGAGAAUUGAGAGGGGCUGCUCCUAGUACGAGAGGACCGGAGUGGACGAACCGCUGGUGUUCGGGUUGUGAUGCCAAUUGCAUUGCCCGGUAGCUACGUUCGGAACUGAUAACCGCUGAAAGCAUCUAAGCGGGAAGCAGGCCUCGAGAUGAGUUCUCACUUUGACUUAGAGUCAACUGAAGGGCCGUUGAAGACUACAACGUUGAUAGGCGAGAUGUGGAAGUGCUGUGAGGCAUUAAGCUAACUCGUACUAAUUACCCGUGAGGCUUAACCAU